GACGAACGCUGGCGGCGUGCUUAACACAUGCAAGUCGAACGGAAAGGCCCUGCUUUUGUGGGGGGCUCGAGUGGCGAACGGGUGAGUAACACGUGAGUAACCUGCCCUUGACUUUGGGAUAACUUCAGGAAACUGGGGCUAAUACCGGAUAGGAGCUCCUGCUGCAUGGUGGGGGUUGGAAAGUUUCGGCGGUUGGGGAUGGACUCGCGGCUUAUCAGCUUGUUGGUGGGGUAGUGGCUUACCAAGGCUUUGACGGGUAGCCGGCCUGAGAGGGUGACCGGCCACAUUGGGACUGAGAUACGGCCCAGACUCCUACGGGAGGCAGCAGUGGGGAAUAUUGCACAAUGGGCGGAAGCCUGAUGCAGCAACGCCGCGUGCGGGAUGACGGCCUUCGGGUUGUAACCCGCUUUCGCCUGUGACGAAGCGUGAGUGACGGUAAUGGGUAAAGAAGCACCGGCUAACUACGUG
rnacentral:rRNA from 1 species